GAGCUGCUCCUGCUCUAAUCGCCCUGACUCACCAAAAGGUUUCACCCUCCCACAGCAACACAAAGACCCAGUUGCUUCUUGCUUAGGCAGAAAAAUCAAACACAGGAACAUUGACGUCACAAAUACUUCAGAAAAGGUAAAGGCAUACAUAACCCUGCUUCCUUCUCACACCAUGAGGACAAGGCUCCUGAUCAUGGAGGCUUCAUUUCUCUCAGCUUGAGAAACUUCUGACAGAGAUUACAUUCCUACUACCUUGUAUCCAGGCCAGCUAUUACAAGUGGUAAACAACACUCUGUGUCUGUCAUUAUGCCAUUCUAAAACUUCCAACCAACAUCAGCAAGAAUGAUACACCUCUACAUCCUUUGUUUAUGUCUACUACUGGUAGCCAAAAGGUGAGAGGAUUUCAAUGUGCCUGAGUCUAACUAAGUGUAAAAUUGUUGCAUCAGAUUCUAUGUCUUUCAAAAUCCCACAGCAGAUUUGCUGUUCUUUCAUCAAAAGUACAACAAAA